rnacentral:rRNA from 1 species
GAUGAACGCUGGCGGCGUGCUUAAUACAUGCAAGUCGAACGGAAAGGCCAUGCGUUUGCGGGGCGCUCGAGAGGGGAACGGGGGAGAAACACGCGAGUAACCUGCCCCUGACUUUGGGAUAACUUCAGGAAACUGGGGCGAAUACCGGAUAGGAGAUACUGCUGCACGGUGGGGGUUGGAAAGUGUCGGCGGUUGUGGAUGGACUCGCGGCUUACGAGCUUGCUGGGGGGGUAGUGGCGUACCAAGGUUUUGAAGGGUAGGCGGCCUGGGAGCGUGACCGGCCACAUUGGGACUGCGGUACGGCCCAGACGCCUACGGGCGGCAGCGGUGGGGAAUAUUGCGCAAUGGGCGGACGCCUGAUGCAGCAACGCCGCGUGCGUGAUGCCGUCCUUUGGGUUGUAAACCGCUUUCGCCUGUGACGAGGCGUGAGUGACGGUAAUGGGUAAGGAAGCACCGGCUAACUACGUG